rnacentral:RNase_P_RNA from 2 species
UCCUCGCGAAUGCCGCGUUUCUUUGCUCACAAACCGACUCGUACACACGUACGCCGUCUACAUUUGGCAAAUGAGAAAUUCGGAGUAAUCUUCACCUUUUGCACGCUAUCCGACAAUCCUCUCACUGAAGUUUGCGCGGCUCUGGCAUCUGCCCGUGAGGGCCUACCAUGACACUCAUGGCUGCACUUGGCAUCAGAAAUCUCAGCCGCGGCUCGGAGCAUCUGUUCGGGGCUCGUUGGCUAUGGGAGCUAGUGCGAAGAUUGUGUUGGAGAAAACACUUUAGUGCAAUACGCGGCGUAUCUGAGUCUCUUGCUACCUUCGCGUGGUGGAGAGGAGGGUAUCAUUCGAUUCCGAUUACUCUUGUGAGGA